rnacentral:rRNA from 1 species
GAUGAACGCUGGCGGUAUGCCUAACACAUGCAAGUCGUACGAGAGUUUUUAACUCUAGUGGCGGACGGGUGAGUAACACGUGAGAAUUUGCCUUUAGGAGGGGGAUAACAAUUGGAAACGAAUGCUAAUACCCCAUAUGCUUUUGAGUGAAAUGGAUUUUAUCCGCUUGUUGAUGGGUGUGCGGCUGAUUAGAUAGUUGGCGGGGUAACGGCCCACCAAGUCUACGAUCAGUAGCUGAUGUGAGAGCAUGAUCAGCCACACGGGCACUGAGACACGGGCCCGACUCCUACGGGAGGCAGCAGUAAGGAAUAUUGGACAAUGGUCGGAAGACUGAUCCAGCCAUGCCGCGUGAAGGAUGAAGGCGCUCAGCGUUGUAAACUUCUUUUGUACGGGAACAAAAUGCGACCUGCGGGGUUGUACUGAGGGUACCGUAAGAAUAAGCACCGGCUAACUCCGUG